AAUAUUUCAAUGAUGACAACAUUCAUACCCAUAUCUGAAUUCAAAUUUGAUGAAUUUUGUUUACAUGCAUCACCAACUGAGAGUUUAUUU
rfam:Musca domestica strain aabys unplaced genomic scaffold Scaffold19210, whole genome shotgun sequence.